CCUACGGGAGGCAGCAGUGGGGAAUAUUGCACAAUGGCGGGAACCCUGAUGCAGCGACGCCGCGUGAGUGAAGAAGUAUUUCUGUAUGUUAAGCUCUAUCAGCAGGGAAGAAAAUGUCUGUACCUGACGAUGUAUCCCCGUCUAACUACGUGCCAGCAGCCGUGGUAAUACGGAGGGAGCAAGCGUUAUCCGGAUUUACUGGGUGUAAUGGGAGCGUAGACGGCAGAGCAAGUCUGAAGUGAAAGCCCGCGGCCCAACUGCGGGACUGCUUUGGAAACUGGCCGGCUAGAGUGCUGGCGAGGUAAGCGGAAUUCGUGGUGUAGCGGUGAAAUGCGUAGAUAUUAGGAGGAACACCAGUGGCGAAGGCGGCUUACUGGACAGUAACUGACGUUGAGGCUCGAAAGCGUGGGGAGCAAACAGGAUUAGAUACCCUUGUAGUC
rnacentral:rRNA from 1 species